AAUUCUCAACCUCUUUAGUUUUUAUAAACUAAUUAGGCUUGGAUAUUGGAGGUUGCUGGUUUCUCAGAAAUCAGCUCCUCUUAAAUGCAUUAGCAAAGUCUUUGCUGACUAUCUUUGAUAUGAUAAUUAUCUAUACCAUUGAAAAUCAGCUUCCAUCUUGGAGGGUUUUGCUUCUAAUCGUCUGCAUAGACAAUUUGACA
rnacentral:misc_RNA from 1 species